rnacentral:tRNA from 1 species
ACUAGUUUGGCAGAUUUAAGUGCUUUAAAUUUAGAAUUUAAUGAUGUAUUUUUUACAGUUAGUA